UUCUAAUUUGGGGGCACAACCUGUUGGAUGUGCUGCAUGGGGCCUAGCUAGUUUCAUAGGAGGUUAAUGAUUCGUUGAAUUAUCUUGCUAAUACAUUCAUUUCUUGAUAUUUAUUUGAAGAUAGAAAGAUAAAUUUAUUAUGAAAUUAAGUAUAUGAAUAAUAAUAUAUAAAAGAAACUUACUUAUUAGUGGGCCACAUCUCAAUGAAUAGCCUCCAUUGUAGCCCGAUAUUAGUUUAUUUUAGAGGAGUAACUAAUCAUUUACGUAACAAAUGGAAAUUCAACAUUGAGUAAGAAGAAGAGACGAAAAAUGAUACCUAGACACGUAGAGCUUUGCUUACCUCCGUUUCAGAACCGACGCCUCCUUUUCUGGCAGAGGGGAGUGAGAAAGAUAUUUAUUUUCGGAUCGCCGAAUUCAAUAGCUAAACAAGAGGUGUUCCCUAAAAAGAAAGCAUAGUUAAGUUAAGCAACAGGGGUUGUUCAGCGAGGGGGAAGCAAAGUCUCCAUACCAUGGAAGGCUUCGCAGCUAUUAUAUACGGCUAUAAUGAGCCUGUUUAGCAUGAACAGAAUCACCUUCGUUCCGAAGGCCUAGCGAGUUAAGCGCAAGCGCCUUUUUUUUAAUGGUCAAAGUUCUUUCCCCGGACCGACGACUCGGUUGUUCGGUAGUGCUAAGUAAAUUAUAGGAGGAUACCUGUAGCUUCGGUUGUUGACUAUCGUGCGAGUUGGGUUGUGGUCGUAUUGCCUGCAAGCGGAACGUAGGCGCUGUGGGGUGUGUGUUUGUUGACCAUGCACUCUCGCGUCGUGUAAUGUCGUAUGUACAUUAAACGGAGCUUGGGAUUGCAACAAGCGUGAUUGCAUCCCCUUCCAGGCCCCCUUUUGAUGAAUGUGCUACCACCAUAUCCAGAUCCUCAAGAAAAACUAGUGAGAUGGGC
rnacentral:lncRNA from 1 species